CCAAGUAGUAUCACAAUGAGUAGGAGGUGGGUCUAAAGAUUCAUAGGCUAACUUGAUUGAAAAUUGACCACUACUGCUCCAUUUCCAAGAGGCAUCAUUACCAUCAACACCCAUCAUAAUUCUAGACUUAACAAAUUCCCAAGUUGAUUUUAUUCCAGUCCAGAUGCUAGAGCUAGGUCUUUUCUUCUGAAUCCUCAAAAUUACAUCCGAGCCAUGCCUAAUACCAAGGCCACCAUUCUUCUUUGUUUUACAAACUUUAUCCUAAGAAACAAGAUGAACUUUCCUCCGACCAUCGAUGGUGCCUCAAAGAAAGUUGUAAUUGUUACUUUCUAACUUCUCACAGGUUGCUGUAGGGAGGUUUGCCAUUUGCACAGUAUACAUAGCUGCAAAUCCCUCUGUGAAGCCUUCUUCCACUCUUCCCUUUGAUCGUUGAUCUUCCCUUUGCGUUCUUAGCCUGGCGCGUGUGUGGUCAAAAUUCCCAAGCAACGAUUUCACUUUCUUCAGCUCUUCUGCAAUAUUCCUAGACUCUAUGUACAAAAUAUAUCGCCAAAAAAUUGAAGGAAUCGCCCCCCACCCGUCGGUCUUCACCAACGCAGAUUUAGCUCUCCUUCAUCACUAGUUCAUUAAUGCAAGAAUGGUCCUCACUGUCGCUCUUCACCGACGUUGUCAACGGAGGGAAAAGAGUUAAAAACUCCACGAGCUUUCUGCAGACUUGAGAGCGUGAACUCUUGCCCUUCAGUCUUCUGUUUCCACAGCCACGUAGAUGCCUAGUAGAUCGGUUUUCAGCACACGUCAUGCCACCUAGUCAGAGCUUCAGUUAACCAUGCUCCUAGGUCCGGUCUACAAGUGGACAUUUGUUUCAAAUUGGACGGAAGGUGUCAUAUGGUAUACUUUUAUAGUUUUUGGAUUACUUUGCAGCAUGUAGUGCUGUUCGAAAAAUAAUACUAUCAUAUGAGAUAUCUAGUAUUGUUCAAAAAAUAGUUUAA